rnacentral:rRNA from 1 species
CCUACGGGGGGCAGCAGUGGGGAAUAUUGGACAAUGGGCGCAAGCCUGAUCCAGCAAUGCCGCGUGAGUGAUGAAGGCCUUAGGGUUGUAAAGCUCUUUCGCCCGCGACGAUGAUGACGGUAGCGGGAGAAGAAGCCCCGGCUAACUCCGUGCCAGCAGCCGCGGUAAUACGGAGGGGGCUAGCGUUGUUCGGAAUUACUGGGCGUAAAGGGCGCGCAGGCGGCUGCUCAAGUCAGGCGUGAAAGGCCUGGGCUCAACCCGGGAAUUGCGCUUGAGACUGGGCUGGCUUGAGUGCGGGAGAGGAUGGUGGAAUUCCCAGUGUAGAGGUGAAAUUCGUAGAUAUUGGGAAGAACACCGGUGGCGAAGGCGGCCAUCUGGACCGCAACUGACGCUGAGGCGCGAAAGCGUGGGGAGCAAACAGGAUUAGAUACCCUGGUAG